GCCGGGAUGGCGGAACUGGUAGACGCGCCGGACUCAAAAUCCGGUUUGGGUGACCAAGUGAGGGUUCGACUCCCUCUCCCGGCACCA
rnacentral:tRNA from 1 species